GAUGAAGAACGUAGCGAAAUGCGAUAAGUAAUGUGAAUUGCAGAAUUCAGUGAAUCAUCGAAUCUUUGAACGCACAUUGCGCCCGCCAGUAUUCUGGCGGGCAUGCCUGUUCGAGCGUCAUUUCAACCAUCAAGCCCCCGGCUUGUGUUGGGGACCUGCGGCUGCCGCAGGCCCUGAAAAGCGGUGGCGGGCUCGCUGUCACACCGAGCGUAGUAGCAUACAUCUCGCUCUGGGCGUGCUGCGGGUUCCGGCCGUUAAACCACCUUCAUAACCCAAGGUUGACCUCGGAUCAGGUAGGAAGACCCGCUGAACUUAAGCAUAUCAAUAAGCGGAGGA
rnacentral:misc_RNA from 1 species